CCCAUGGAUGUAGCAGUAGUGGAGCCAAAGGUCACCUUUGCUCGCCUUCUCCACCUGAAGGACGGCAGAUCCGCAAAGGCUGCCCUGAAGCAUGGCAUGGAGUCUGUUCUUGGGGCAAUCAAGCUGGAGCGGGAGGAGCGCCGGCACACCUUCCUUGAGGAGCAGGCACAGCGUCUCCAGGCCCGCACGGAGGCUUUGGAGGCCCGCAUCCAGAAGGUUGCCGACCUGGAGCUGCUGCUGCAUAGGGCCCAG
rnacentral:ribozyme from 1 species